CCUACGGGUGGCAGCAGUGAGGAAUAUUGGUCAAUGGACGCGAGUCUGAACCAGCCAAGUCGCGUGAAGGAUGACUGCCCUCUGGGUUGUAAACUUCUUUUAUAUGGGAAUAAAAUGUUCCACGUGUGGGAUUUUUUAUGUACCCUAUGAAUAAGGAUCGGCUAACUCCGUGCCAGCAGCCGCGGUAAUACGGAGGAUCCGAGCGUUAUCGUGAUUUAUUGGGGUUAAAGGGAGCGUAGGUGGAUUGUUAAGUCAGUUGUGAAAGUGUGCGGCUGAACCGUAAAAUUGCAGUUGAUACUGGCAGUCUUGAGUACAGUAGAGGUGGGCGGAAUUCGUGGUGUAGCGGUGAAAUGCUUAGAGAUCACGAAGAACUCCGAUUGCGAAGGCAGUUGACUGGACUGCAACUGACACUGAGGCUCGAAAGUGUGGGUAUCAAACAGGAUUAGAUACCCGGGUAGUC
rnacentral:rRNA from 1 species